GACGAACGCUGGCGGCGUGCCUAAUACAUGCAAGUAGGACGCAGUUGCGAACGUGUGAGUAACGCGUAGGUAACUACCUAUUAGAGGGGGAUAACUAUUUGCAACGAUAGCUAAUACCGCAUACUAGUAGAUGGACCUGCGUUGUAUUCGCUAGUAGGUCGGGUAAUGGCCUCCCUAGGCACCGAUACAUAGCCGAACUGAGAGGGGGAUCGGCAAAACGGGGACUGAGACACGGCACAGACUAGUACGGGAGGCAGCAGUAGGGAAUCGUCGGCAAUGGGGGGAACCCUGACCAAGCAACGCCGCGGGAGUGAAGAAGGUUGUCGGAUCGUAAAGCUCUGUUGUGAAGGAAGCGGUACUUAACCAGAAAGGGACGGCUAACUACGUGCCAGCAGCCGCGGUAAUAC
rnacentral:rRNA from 1 species